UGCAUUCACUAUUGUAAGUCGCUCUGGGUAAGAGCGUCUGCUAAAUGACUAAAA
rfam:Salmo salar isolate Sally breed double haploid chromosome ssa28, whole genome shotgun sequence.